CGAACGCUGGCGGCGUGCUUAACACAUGCAAGUCGAACGAUGAACCAGGGCUUGCCCUGGGGAUUAGUGGCGAACGGGUGAGUAACACGUGGGCAACCUGCCCCUGACAUCGGGAUAACUCCGGGAAACCGGGGCUAAUACCGGAUAUGAGCUUCGAGGGCAUCUUCGAGGCUGGAAAGUUUUUCGGUCAGGGAUGGGCCCGCGGCCUAUCAGCUUGUUGGUGGGGUAACGGCCCACCAAGGCGACGACGGGUAGCCGGCCUGAGAGGGCGACCGGCCACACUGGGACUGAGACACGGCCCAGACUCCUACGGGAGGCAGCAGUGGGGAAUAUUGCGCAAUGGGCGAAAGCCUGACGCAGCGACGCCGCGUGAGGGACGACGGCCUUCGGGUUGUAAACCUCUUUCAGCAGGGACGAAGCGAAAGUGACGGUACCUGCAGAAGAAGCACCGGCCAACUAC
rnacentral:rRNA from 1 species